rnacentral:sRNA from 1 species
UUCAAAGUAAGUUUUCAGUCGGCCGUAA